ensembl:lncRNA novel transcript
GGGUGGAGAGGAUUGGGAGCACUUCAGAGAAAAGAUCUGAGAGAAAAGCCUGGGACUCUGCCACCCAGCUCCCUGGCCCCUGGGAGAAGCCAUGGCAGAUAUUUGGGAUGAGGCAGCAUGCUGGUCCCUCAGCAGCAUCCUUAUCACGUCAGCUGUGUCUCCAUCUCAAUCUUCUUUGCCACGUCAUGCAUGCCCUUGAAGCAUUAGAAUUCCUUAAAGCUUCAUGGGAGAAUGCCAUGGGAUGAUGAAGACAGAGAUUGGAGUCAUGCAUCUGCAAGCCAAGAAAUGUACAAGAUUGCUGGCAAACCACCAGAAGCUAGGAGCAGACAAGGAAGGAUCCUCCCCUAAAGGUUUCAGAGGGAGCCAUGGCCUUGCUGACAUCUUGAUUUCAGACUUCUAUCCUCCAGAAUGGGGACCUCUGAGGGUCUAUUUGAGGGCAUGAAUAUGGAAAAUUCAGCUCCAGCUCCUCCACCCCACUCCCUGAACAGCACUGCAGAACUGUGCUAAGCUCCUGUGGCUUGGAAAGAACAGAUGCAAGAGACAUAGGAAUGAAGAAAUAGAUGGUGUCACCUCCUUUAAUUUCCUAGAAAGAGAAAACAAGGCACUGAUGCAGCCCGCGAUGAGCAGGAAUGGGAACCUGCAAUCUCCUGGAAUCUGCAACACAUUGCUGCUCUAUCAGAAGAAGAAAUGCAAGGAAGAAGUCAGAUAAGAUGCUCUAACAAUCCUUGGGUCACUGGAUUCCUCCUAGAACCUCCCUUCCUUCUGGAAAGCCAUCAAAAGUAAAGGCACUGGCCCUAUAGGACCACAGGGUCACUUAAGGAACAUUACAGAGCAAUGAUUCUUGACCUUCUCAGCUUCAAACUCCCUUCUAGAAAUUGCACCCCCUUCCCCACCUCACACUAUUUGUUCCAAAGGCUUUUAUCUACCAAAGUUGAUGGGGGGGCUCUAAGAACAGCUUGAGAUUUACUGGUCAUACCCCAGAGUCCCUGUGCUGACAUCGACAUCUUUCCCAUCCACACAAAUUAUCCGUCGUUAACACAUGGACGUGCUAUAUUUCUAACCAAAUCAAAGAACUUGUACCGAUCUUUUCUGCAGCCUUAUUCUGAGUAAAUAUGUGAUUUCCAUUAGGCUUUUUGAAAUAUGUAAAAUAUAUAGACUCCCAUUACCACCUUCAGGACCUCUAGGUGUUUGGGGACCUUUACUAGGAAUUCACUCCUAUGCCCAAAAUGAGUUUGAAGAUGAAAAUUAUAGCUAGGCGGGGAAAGAACUGUUGGUGUAACAAGAUAUUUAAAAGCAAAAAUUUUUCCCCACCUGGGUAGGUCAGGGCCUAGCAUUGGAGAAAGGGAUGUUUUCAAAAUGAGAGUAACUGCUAAAGCAAAAUGUGUAAAACUGAGACAUUGGGCAAAGAAGGGAAAAGAAGGGAAGGGUGUUGGCUUAUAAGAGAAGACAAUUCUGCUGUGUUAAACUGUUUCCCCUGAAACAACAUUUCCACUCAGCUGGGAAAUUUUCUGGGCUCCUGAAACUUCAUUAGGUUUCUGGCAAUUACCCCAAGGAGACCCCCUAAAAGGUAGGCAAUAGUUACACAACUGACAUGCAUUGUGUGACAGAAAUAAAGGAAGCUGCACAUGCUUUUAUUCAUUAACGUAUUUUUUCCACAGUGCCAUAAGGAAGGAAAUUGUAAAUUUGUAAUCAGGCAGAUCUCUAAGUUUUCCAAGAAUGGCUGUUCUCUUCCCAACUAGGGUUAAAAGACAAUUUGUUGCACUCUGGGCAAAUCCCGACUUGGUUCCUGUCUUACUUAAGGUUUCAGAAAUAGUCAUAAAUCUUUUAAAAUAUUUAUUAUUAAUUCAUUUUGGGGCAGCUUUUAUGAUUCUAAAACUUCAGGAUCUGUUUGAAUGUUUCCUGAGUCUCAAGUUUCAUGGAGAAAGGCUGACAGGGAACCAAAUUCCACCAGUGGUUUGGUGGUGUGUGAGCAGGCCAUCAGCCAGAACAUUCUAACAUGUCUACAAAGGGCGUGAUUUGGGGUCGUCUCUGCCGAGAAAUUCUAUGGACUAGGGGGAAACACUUUCUUCUUUCCCCCAGUACUAUUUGGACUAGUUUCUAAAAAUGGACAGAAACACCCUGUCAGCCUUGUGAGAAAUCCAAUCAUCUUGUUAAUAAACAGAAAAGGGUACUAUCAACAUGACUUAUUUUCCACUAACUAGUUAAUGCAAGUAAGACAAGCUAAUAGGCAAAAUUCAGAUUUCAUUUCAUCUAUUGCUUCACCCCACACCAAAUGUAAAUGUAAAAGUCUCCUGAAUUGGGUGUGUUAUAAUCUCGGUCCACUGACAGAUUAUCUAGAAGCAGACUCACAUUUCCCCCAAAAAAGAACCCUGUAAAAAUAGCCAUUGCUCUGUGUAGAUAUCAAAUCUGUGCCUCCUGCAGGGAGUGCAGUGGAUGCAGAAACCCAAAUCCACCUUCAGGAGAGGCAGCCUGGAGGAGUAGCAUGAAGCAAGGAAAGAAGAGUUGGUGGAUGGGUUCUCAAAAAAUCUUCCUUACAGCCAAGUCUGUGAGGUCAGGGGAUAGUCUCCCAAGGGAAGUGGUGGGAGCCCCACAGUUAGAGGCAUUUAGAAGGGGCCUUGAUGGAAAAAUGGAAAUGUAACCCUAGGUUAAAAACUGUGCCCUGAAAAGGGAUAAGGGAGACAAGCUUAAAGAGAUUCUUUCAGCUCUAAUUUCUAAGAAU